rnacentral:rRNA from 1 species
UACAGAGGGUGCAAGCGUUGUUCGGAAUCAUUGGGCGUAAAGCGCACGUAGGUGGCUUUGCAAGUCGAUUGUGAAAUCCCCGGGCUUAAACCUGGGAACUGCAGUCGAGACUGCUUUGCUUGAGUAUGGGAGAGGGAGGUGGAAUUUCCGGUGUAGCGGUGAAAUGCGUAGAUAUCGGAAGGAACAUCAGUGGCGAAGGCGACCUCCUGGACCAAUACUGACACUCAAGUGCGAAAGCGUGGGGAGCAAACAGG